rnacentral:lncRNA from 1 species
GGAAAUCUCCAAAAGUGACUGUGGAGUUUGUAAGUUUUAUGAGAAUGCCAAUAUUUUAACAUAAGUUUGAUAUUGUAAAGUUGGCAUAUGUUGGAUCUUAGUUUUCUCUAUUUUUCGUAAUUCAAUCUUGGAUCUGUUUUUGGUGCAGUCUAUAGUCCUCAAGGUGGGUAUCAUGCCAAGAUUGUGUUGGUGCCGUGAAAAGGGUUCUCGGAAAACUUGAAGGUUUGACAACUCUUGCAUUUAUC